UACGGUAGGGUGCGAGCGUUAAUCGGAAUCACUGGGCGUAAAGGGUGCGUAGGUGGUGGGGUAAGUCGGAUGUGAAAUCUCCGAGCUCAACCCGGAAAUUGCAUUGGAAACUACCCUGCUUGAGGGUCGGAGGGGGGACUGGAAUUCUCGGUGUAGCAGUGAAAUGCGUAGAUAUCGAGAGGAACACCAGUGGCGAAGGCGAGUCCCUGGACGACUCCUGACACUGAGGCACGAAAGCUAGGGGAGCAAACAGG
rnacentral:rRNA from 1 species